GACGAACGCUGGCGGCGUGCUUAACACAUGCAAGUCGAACGGAAAGGCCCUGCUUUUGUGGGGUGCUCGAGUGGCGAACGGGUGAGUAACACGUGAGUAACCUGCCCUUUACUUUGGGAUAACUUCAGGUAACUGGGGCUAAUACCGGAUAGGAGCUCCUGCUGCAUGGUGGGGGUUGGAAAGUUUCGGCGGUUGGGGAUGGACUCGCGGCUUAUCAGCUUGUUGGUGGGGUAGUGGCUUACCCAGGCUCUGACGGGUAGCCGGCCUGAGAGGGUGACCGGCGACAAUGGGACUGAGAUACGGACCAGACUCCUACGGGAGGCAGCAGUGGGGAAUAUUGCACAAUGGGCGGAAGCCUGAUGCAGAAACGCCGCGUGCGGGAUGACGGCCUUCGGGUUGUAAACCGAUUUCGCCUGUGACGAAGCGUGAGUGACGGUAAUGGGUAAAGAAGCACCGGCUAACUACGUG
rnacentral:rRNA from 1 species